CCCUUAGAUGUUCUGGGCUGCACGCGCGCUACACUGACACACGCAACGAGUCUCCUGCCCUGACAGGGUCGGGUAAUCAUUUGAGUGUGUGUCGCGAUGGGGAUAGAGUAUUGCAAUUAUUGCUCUUGAACGAGGAAUUCCUAGUAAGCACAAGUCAGCAGCUUGUGCUGAUUACGUCCCUGCCCUUUGUACACACCGCCCGUCGCUCCUACCGAGGGGGUGAUCCGGUGAAUGAUUCGGACUCUGGUGCUUCUAGCUGCUAGAUGCGCCGGAGGAAGUUUUGUGAACCUUAUCACUUGGAGGAAGGAGAAGUCGUAACA
rnacentral:rRNA from 1 species